GACGAACGCUGGCGGCGUGCUUAACACAUGCAAGUCGAGCGAGGUCCAUCCAGUGGCAACACUGGGGAAGACCUAGCGGCGAACGGGUGAGUAACACGUGAGCAACCUGCCCCGAAGACUGGGAUAACACCGGGAAACCGGUGCUAAUACCGGAUGCCUUCCUCUGGUCGCAUGGCCUAGGGAAGAAAGGAAUUUUGCUUCGGGAGGGGCUCGCGGGCUAUCAGCUUGUUGGUGAGGUAACGGCUCACCAAGGCGA
rnacentral:rRNA from 1 species